UACGUAGGAGACGAGCGUUGUCCGGAGUACUGGGCGUAAAGCGUGCGCAGGCGGUUGGUUAAGUCUGAUGUGAAAGCCCCGAGCUCAACUUGGGAAUGGCCAUUGGAAACUGGCUGGCUAGAGUGUGGCAGAGGGGGGUGGAAUUCCGCGUGUAGGCAGUGAAAUGCGUAGAGAUGCGGAGGAACACCGAUGGCGAAGGCAGCCCCCUGG
rnacentral:rRNA from 1 species